rnacentral:rRNA from 1 species
AUUGAACGCUGGCGGCAUGCCUUACACAUGCAAGUCGAACGGUAACGGGCCUUCGGGUGCCGCCGAGUGGCGAACGGGUGAGUAAUACAUCGGAACGUGCCCGAUCGUGGGGGAUAACGAGGCGAAAGCUUUGCUAAUACCGCAUACGAUCUACGGAUGAAAGCAGGGGACCGCAAGGCCUUGCGCGGACGGAGCGGCCGAUGGCAGACUAGGUAGUUGGUGGGAUAAAAGCUUACCAAGCCGACGAUCUGUAGCUGGUCUGAGAGGAUGAUCAGCCACACUGGGGCUGAGACGCGGCCCAGACUCCUACGGGAGGCAGCAGUGGGAAAUUUUGGACAAUGGGCGCAAGCCUGAUCCAGCCAUGCCGCGUGCAGGAUGAAGGCCUUCGGGUUGUAAACUGCUUUUGUACGGAACGAAAAGCCUUCUUUUAAUACAGGAGGGUAAUGACGGUACCGUAAGAAUAAGCACCGGCUAACUACGU